rnacentral:rRNA from 1 species
GACCGAAGUGGAGAAAGGUUCCAUGUGAACAGCAGUUGGACAUGGGUUAGUCGAUCCUAAGAGAUAGGGAAAUUCCGUUUGCAAGCGCCCGAUCUUGGGCCGCCUAUCGAAAGGGAAUCGGGUUAAUAUUCCCGAACCGGGACGCGGAUAUUGCCGUUCGCGGCAGAUGCGGUAACGCAAACGAACCCGAAGACGCUGGCGGGGGCCCUGGGAAGAGUUCUCUUUUCUUUUUAACGAGCUUUCACCCUGAAAUCAGCUUGCCUGGAGAUAGGGUUUAAUGCUCGGUAAAGCACCACACUUCUUGUGGUGUCCGGUGCGCUCUCGACGGCCCUUGAAAAUUCGGGGAAGACAUUGAUUUUCGUGUCCGGUCGUACUCAUAACCGCAGCAGGUCUCCAAGGUGAGCAGCCUCUGGUU